GACGAACGCUGGCGGCGUGCUUAACACAUGCAAGUCGAACGGAAAGGCCCUGCUUUUGUGGGGUGCUCGAGUGGCGAACGGGUGAGUAACACGUGAGUAACCUGCCCUUGACUUUGGGAUAACUUCAGGAAACUGGGGCUAAUACCGGAUAGGAGCUCCUGCUGCAUGGUGGGGGUUGGAAAGUUUCGGCGGUCGGGGAUGGACUCGCGGCUUAUCAGCUUGCUGGUGGGGUAGUGGCUUACCAAGGCUUUGACGGGUAGCCGGCCUGGGAGGGUGACCGGCCACCUGGGGACUGAGAUACGGCCCAGACUCCUACGGGAGGCAGCAGGGGGGAAUAUUGCACAAUGGGCGGAAGCCUGAUGAAGAAACGCCGCGUGCGGGAUGACGGCCUUCGGGUUGUAAACCGCUUUCGCCUGUGACGAAGCGUGAGUGACGGUAAUGAGUAAAGAAGCACCGGCUAACUACGUG
rnacentral:rRNA from 1 species